GCAAGGGAAGGUUCAGUUCAAUGCAGUUCAUUUCGUGCAGCCUUCACCGCGUACACUCACUUUACACCGCUCGUCACCCAUAUGGUCCGGGCGUGUGUGUGCGUGUGCGUGCGACUGAGCCACGGAUCUGGUUGUGAGUGAGUGAGGAGUCUCCGCACAGUCCGCGUGAGCAGAUUGGGGUGGUUUUGUAUGCUUCUUCUUCUUCUUCUUCCCCUACCGACACAGCAGUAGAAGGGGUGGUGUAGGAAAACAAAAUAUCCGUAUGACAAGAUGACGACGCCGCCGCCGUAUACCCAAUCCGGAACUAGCGAUGGCGAUCGCGACUGGACGCGACCGGUCAGGGGAUGUGAUGGCCACGGAUGCGGCAUCGACCGGCCUAGACCUGGAAAAUAAAAAAGCAACACAGCGCUUCUCGCCCUCUAUCUCUUUCUCUCCGCUGCUUACUUGACUCUCGCUCACACACUAUCGCUAUCUCGGCAGGGACGGCCUCACACACCUGUCCGCGGUGGGUCCGCGAUGCCUGCCACCACCCGGUUUCCGCAUCCCAGGCGUGUUGAAAGUGAUCGCCUUACUCCUUACUCUACCCUUCAGCGAGGCGCAUCAUCUGUUGGGCCGGUUUUGGGAAGAAGACGCGAAGCGGACAACCUUCUUUUUCACCAUUACGACGCACCGGUUUAUAGUUUUCCAUCGUUGAGAUUUGUGCCCUUGUGCAGUGUGCACACCAAUAGCUAAUUUUAAUAGAUUAAUAAUAAUUAAAAACUUUGCCAAUCACAGGCUUCACCUGUCUUUGUUGAUGCUUUGAUGUAAGGUUGGGUGAGUCAUAGUUAUAUUAGCUAAACUUUACAACAGUUUUCGGGAGUGGGACGUUGGUACAAUCAGUUACUAGUUAAAUAAUGUUUGUUUUUUCUUUUUUUAGAAAAAAAGAACAUCAUAUUAAUUUUCUAAUUAGCUGAACAGAACGCUGAACAGUUUGCACCAAGUGGUUGGAUGAAAUAUUACCCCAUAAAACACGGCGUCCAUAAAAGUUUAAUACACUGCUUAAAAUAGUUUGCUGGUUGUAUUUUUAAAGCAUGAUGAGUAAGCUUCAGCUUAUAUCUCUAAGUACAAUGUAACAAGAUUUUUCCUUUUUUCCAUACAAGCUUAUUGGUUCUAAAUUGAUCACUUUUGCUGUGAACGUCGGUUGGUGGGAAAUGGAUCGUUUUGCUUUAUAAAACUUCAUAAAACAUAUAACUAGCUUAUCUGUUAACUAAUAUUGAUCGGAUUGAUUCCAAUCCAUUGGUUUACUUAUUUUAUUGUGUUAUUUAUUCAGGAAGAAAAGUCUUUUACAAAUGGCAACGUAUUAUCUGUUUUACAGUCGUUGAUGCUCUAAUUUUGCAAGUACAACACUUAGGCUUGCCUCUAAGGUAUCAAUUUUUGACAACGUGUCUCAAUUUUUGCCUCUAACACAUCAAUUUUUGUCUCUAAAGCUGUAAAAUUUGAUUGUAAGUCAAUCGUUUUAUUUACAAAAUUUUAAGUAUUGUCUUAAACCGUGCGUUGCAAAUUGAAUUAUUGUUUAAAAGAUAAUAAACUAAUUGAUAGAAAUAAAACAAUUGUUAUGUCUCAAUUUUGGAAGUUUUGGAAGGAAAAAAAGAAUCUCUCGAAAUAGGUAUACCUUGUAAAUUUAUUGUGAUUCCUUCAGCAGCAAAACUGUUGUCUUACAGACACGAAUUGAUGCAUUACAGUCAAAAAUUGAUGCGCACUACUAUUAAAAAUGUAUGCCCUAGAACCAACAUUACGCGACAACAACCUUAUCAUAUUUAACAUAGAAACGUUUAAAUUCCUUUAUUUCAGUUCAUAAAACGGCCUUCCAAAUUACCAAUUUCAACAGGUUUUCUAUAGUAAAAAGUUUAGAAAAUAAAUUACCACAAAAGUUGUGUGUGUAUCCUUCAUGUUGCAUAAAACCAGCCCACCCGAGUCAGCAUUAUUCAACACACAAAUAUAAUGGCCUCGAGUGUCGAUCUGCUCCGUCCACGUACUCCACCUUCCCCCUCCACGGCACACCAAACCGUAUGAUCGACAAAGCACUCACACACACACACACACACUCAUUUACCCAGACACGAACGUGUCGGACCACGGAGCGGUGAGCGGCGUCUUGAUUUGGCACCGAUUGUGGUGUUAGUUUAUUAUGUGUGGAUUUCCCCCACGGCAACGAUGAUGGUCACUGUGCGUGGGAGGGGGAGGGGGGGGGGGCAGUUUGGCACACAUGGCGCUGUUAUCGCUCGGAACGAAUGUUGCGAUUAAGGGCGCACGGUUAUCGGUCAACCCCGGUCGACAUGCGACAACCUGCAACUGCCCGUGCGAUAAGAAGCCCAACGCGCCGUGUGUGUGUCGCAAUUGAUCGAACCCUCUUCCCCGUCUGGUGGAAUUGAAAGACAACAAAGGUCAGGGAAGGUGUUUUGAACCACCACCUCCCUCCCUUUUCACCCUUUCACGGUGGUUGAUUACCUUUUGGCCCAAACGGAAGUCGAGUGAAAAGCGACGAAAAGCUGGCAGCGGGCCUGCAGUUGUGUGUGUGUGCCCCCAGGACAAUCGCAUGGCAAUCGGAUUGAACGCGCAACAUUUUCCAUACAAUCCGUAGUGUUGCGUUUUCUUCGCGCCAACUUUGCCUGUAUUUUCAAUGAGCCAAGCGAUUUUACCCCCUCCUACACGCAUUGUAUCCUACAGCACGCUUGACGCGGCAACGUUCACCACAUACACACACACAUCUCCACACUCAGGGUACGACAUCUUCCCUGUUGCUGUUCUGGACUCAGACAAAAUUUGUGUUGCUACACUUAUUGUUCAAAAAAGUAGUAGCUCUUAGGAUCUGAAUUUACAAACAAAUAUCAAAAUGUUAUGUUCUGCUAAUGAUAUUGCACUAAAUUUAAUUGCACUACAUUAAGUUUUUACAUAUCUUUCGUAAAAGUUCGUCAGAGUAUGAAAAUGUCGACUCAAUUUGUCAUGAAUAACUUGAAUUUUAAGAUUUUCGCGCGUAAAAUUAUGACGCGCGCUGUCUGUGCGGCGGCGUAAGUCGCUACUCGUAUAGCCGUCUCGCUUCUUCUUGUGUGUGCUUUACCGUUGCUCACCGCUUCAAGAACAUUGCUGCUCACACACACGUCAGUCUGUGGCAAACAAUUGGAGGGGGAGGAUGUGUCGGUUUGCUCCAGAAAUCGUGUGUGAUUUUGGUGUUCUGGAUUUGGUUCCAUCGCUGUUUGUUUUGGUGAAUUUGAAAAGGUAAGAAUCAUCAACCGAUGUAAAAGUGUGAGAGUAAGAUGAUGGUGACUGAUGCUUUUUUUUUGUUUCUUUUCCUGCUUUCAUCCACUGAUGGCGUCGAGCAUCGCCGAGGAUGUGAUCGAAUGCGGAAUAUUCUAAACGAGGAGCUUCAUUCCGGAUUUUGUUUGCAAUAAGCGCUGAACUCAUCCUCCAGCUUACAACGAACGGUCAACGGAUGAGGAAGGAGAGGAGGGACGGCAAAGGUACACGCAAAAACGUGUACACCUCAGCCUUGUCGGAGAACGAGAACACGGGAGGGGGAGACCGGCAACGUAGGUUCUAUACGUUCUUCAUUUACGCUCCCUCGUGCGUUCGUGCGUGCCACCUAGUGAAUCACCUAGUGAAAAACACCAAGAGAGGGGGAGGGGUAGGUGUAUGUGUAUGUGUGUGUAUGUGUGCUUGCAUGCGUACGUGGUUGUGAGUGUGUUUUUUGCUGUUUCGCGAUCUCCUACGGUAUCAAAAGGGGGUGGGGGGGAAACACGAGGGGGGGGAGGAGUGAGGUGUGUGUUUGUGUGCUUGCGAAAAACACCAUGGGGAGGAGAAGGUGUGUGUGUGUGUUUUCUCUUCUUUGUCGUUUCGCACUCUCCCGUGGGUCUCCUUGUGUGCGUUAGUUUUUUUGUUUUUCAAGAAGAAAAAAAAAUACUUCGAAAAAUACCAGUGGGGAGGGUGUGUGUAUGAAUGAAAGAAUGUGCUUAGAAAAAGAAAGUAGAAAAUAAAAAAAAUAUUGAACAACGGA